CAGCCUUGAGUUACAACAUCGUCCUUCUCUUUGAAAACAAACAAGGUGCUGUCAAGGGCAGGGAGAACAUAGCCUCAUAUUAUAAAACUGGGGAUGAAAGCAUAUUUUCAAGAGAUGAAUGCUGUGCAAAGAGCUGAGUACAGACCAGGGAUGCAGUGCAAUUUUCAGAAAUUGAGGAUAAUGAAUGAAAUAUCUAUUUGUCUCUAAUCAUUUGUGGCACAUGGCUCUGUGAGAAAGUCGGGGUGGACUAAAACCUGAAGAGAAACUUUGCAGGAAACCUUGCCAUGCCUGAGUCAUGUGGAGAUCUGAAUCAGUGCCCCCCUUCCACCUCUGCCAUUCUAAGCAAUGAUCUGCAUCUCUUGAAGUUUAGAGAGGAAAUAUAUAUAAAGCCAGCACCAUGGUUCAGGAAGGAUGAGCCUGGUUGGACAGCAUCCAGAGGAGACCAACAAGGAUGAUCAGAAGUCGAGAGAAUGUGACUAAUGAGGAGAGAUUGAAGGAAGGGUGUUGUUUAGUCUGGACAAGAUCAGACUGAGAAGGGAUAUGAUAACAGUUUUUAAAUACAUAAAAAGAUAGAUGAAAAGGAAAAGAAUGGUUUGUUCUUUAUAUCCAACAUGCAGAAGACAAGACUUAAAGUGUUGCAAGGGACGUGCAGGUUAGAUAUAAUGAGAAAAUCCUUUCUAAUGGGAAAGAAAGCAAAGCCUGAGAAGUGAACUUCUUUGGACACUUAUAAGGGCAGGAUGGACACAACACAUCUCAGGAAUGACAAAGGACAGGUUUUGUCUAUAGGCAGACAGACAGAAUUGAUUGCCCUGAAACAAACCAAGCUGUACCUAAGCUAUGACAACCACUGCGGUAAUAAGUUCAAAGUUGUGCCCUCCUGAACAAAGAAUGAAAUUUCAUAGUCAAAAUACCAAAGUUCUCAGCACUGACCAUAAAUAUGUCAACCUGCAUUCACUUCUAGAAUAACAAAAAUCUAGUGAGGUGAAGAGGAGCUACUAAAAGCUAUGUCUAGGCUUACAGUCUAGGUAUUUGCUUGAUUUACACUAUGAAAAUAAUCUUUUUGAUAUAUUGCAUGCAGUAGCAUAUGCUAUAUAAGAACUGUUCAAAUGCAUGCUGGAGACUUUUGAGGACUUGUGUAGUGGGGUCCAGUCAAGUCAUUAUGGGAACCAGGUCCAACUCACAAAUACGAAAUCCUUGUAAAUCAGAUUGAAACUGCUCUUCAAAAUUCAUAUGAAGGGAUGUUCCACUCUGGGCUAAAGAAAUGCACUGAUCCCACACAAUGUACCACAGGCUGAAUAGGGCAAACCACCCACUAUCCUGUCCUGAUCUGGGGAGAAAUUUCAGAUUAUGCUCCAGUUGGAGAGAGGAAGGAGGAUGUUUCCAGGCCUCUGCUGGCAAGCAAGAUAAAUGAGCAAUUCCAUAGUUUUAGUCCAAGUUUAAUUUGCCUCUGCUCUGUGGGUAGGGGUGAGUUAUGAUACAACAUUUUGUCACAGAAGCUCAGCAAGGUGACUUCAUCAGCACCAAUGAGGAACUUUAGGUCUGUUGUAACAGCCACAGAUGGAGAUAAGGGCAGACUUGCUGUGCACAGAGGACCAAAAAUUUCCAUAAAUGUUUCUUUGUCCCUCCUCUGUACACCAUCCUCCCCUCUGACUGCCAAAGAAAAGAGCUCCUCAGAGGUUACCCUCUGCCUUUCCUGAACUCACAUGACUCCUGCUUUGGGUUCUUCACCCCCUGCGUUUAACCGAGGUUAUGAAAACCAAGAUGCUCGAUCUCUGUUUAUUUUCAGUGAUCUCUGUGUGCUGCCAGCAGCCAGAAUCAUGGCCUUUCCCAACACAGGGCAUCUCAGUGAGCUCAGAGUGCACCCAGUGAAGGGAGAAGUGCACGAGUCAGCAACCAGCUGAACUUAUGGAAAAAGCUAAGGUCAAGGCCUCACCAAGAUUUAAAGUGUUUGUGUCCAGGGUACCAGCGAUUGAGCGAAGGAUGUGUUUUUCUUGCUGUUCCAAGGCAGGGACCAGCAGCAACUGGGUUUUGCCCUGCAGCCAUUUCCAUACACUUGGGAUGUGCUGUGGGUGUGAAAUUGGUGGUUAAAGGAUCCAGGUAGGCCAGCCCCUGGAAAUUAGAUCGGCAGUCAUGUAUAAUGGUAGCAAAGCCCUGUGGAUUGAAAAGUAGUACUUUCAAAGCAUGCUUAGGUGACUACAGCCCAUUUUCAGGCAUGGUGGUGGAUUCAUAUUCUGUGAAACACCUCUAUUGGAAAACGGGAUCAAAAUACCUUUAACUCUCUGCAUUAAGUUAACUGAAAUCCCACUGAUUUUAACAUUAAUGAAACUUAUUUCCUUCCAUAGAAGCUUUAGGAGGAGGCCUGGUGAGAGAAACACUGGGUGAAAAAAGUUGGAACAAAAAUUAUAAAGGGAAUAGUUUAUAGAUGCACUGCUGGGUGAGAUCAGAAACUCAUCUAUUUAUCCCUGCUGUUUCACUGGCUUCUUUUUAGGUUUUGCCUUUUGCGGAAUACAUUUAAUCACUCUUGAAUGUCAGAAUACAAAUGUGAGUGAUGCUGUCCCAGAUGGCUAGCACAGAGCAUAGGCUUCUCACACAAAGCAGAGGACAUGAGCAAAAGCCAGGAGGAGGCUGUGUGAGUUCCAGCAGGGCUUUCUGCACUCAUCCCGUUUCAUGGCUUCCUUUGAGAUCUCAAGGCUGUGCAGAAGAAUCCUAGCUUGUGCUUCCCCAUUCAGCUGUGUCCCAAAAGGCUAACAUUCUUCCUAGCAAAGAUGCCCUAGGCUGGCUCUGCACUGCAAGCCUAUGUGCCUUCUACAGCAAGCAUCACAUCUACAUCAAGGGAGCACAGAAUCACAGAAUAUCCCAUGUUGGAAGGGACCCACAGGAAUCACUGAAUCCCUCUCCAGAGCUGGGUAGGAACAAGGCCAUAGGGAAGAAUUUACAUUGGCCAGCUCUGAGUUGCAGCAGCUGCUCAGCCCUCCAUGCAGAUGCACUAGGCAAGAGGUCAAGUUGUGCUUAGUAUCUUAACAUGCAGUUCAAUGAGAGGAAGCUCGUUUCUCUUGGCUGACUCUCCUACAGUGCUUUGUGGGGGUCAUUACACAGCUCUUCCUAUGGAUUGGUGGGGCCUCUCUUUCUCUCACUUGGCCACAAACCUACUGAAAAGGUGUAAAUCUUGACAGAAAAGGACUGAAAAUAGCUGGUAGUGGAAGACAAACAAAUGGAACACUUGUCCUUGUUUCCCCCAAAAGUGGAGGAUAAAACCAGAGCACAUGUUAAGUUUUGAAAUAAAAUGUCCCAUGCAACAGACUAUACUGGACUUGAAGUACCAUUUUUUCUUCUCUCCACAAUUUUUUGUUGAAGUCAUAGGAGUUGCCCUGGGCAAUACAGGG